rnacentral:rRNA from 1 species
CCUACGAGAGGCAGCAGUGAGGAAUAUUGGUCAAUGGGCGCGAGCCUGAACCAGCCAAGUAGCGUGAAGGAUGACUGCCCUACGGGUUGUAAACUUCUUUUAUAAAGGAAUAAAGUGAGGCACGUGUGCCUUUUUGUAUGUACUUUAUGAAUAAGGAUCGGCUAACUCCGUGCCAGCAGCCGCGGUAAUACGGAGGAUCCGAGCGUUAUCCGGAUUUAUUGGGUUUAAAGGGAGCGUAGAUGGGUUGUUAAGUCAGUUGUGAAAGUUUGCGGCUCAACCGUAAAAUUGCAAUUGAUACUGGCAGUCUUGAGGACAGUUGAGGUAGGCUGAAUUCGUGGUGUAGCGGUGAAAUGCUUAGAUAUCACGAAGAACUCCGAUUGCGAAGGCAGCUUACUAAACUGCCACUGACAUUGAUGCUCGAAAGUGUGGGUAUCAAACAGGAGUAGAUACCCGAGUAGUC